rnacentral:rRNA from 1 species
GACGAACGCUGGCGGCGUGCUUAACACAUGCAAGUCGAACGAAGUGGCGAACGGGUGAGUAACGCGUAAUCAACCUGCCCUUCAGCGGGGGACAACAGUAGGACACGACUGCUAAUACCGCAUACGGAAGGAGGGGCUUGCGUCUGAUUAGCUAGUUGGGGGGGUACCGGCCCACCAAGGCGAUGAUCAGUAGCCGGACUGGAGGGGUUAACAGCCAAAAUUGGACUGGGACACGGCCCAGACUCCUACGGGAGGGAGCAGUGGGGAAACUUUCGCAAUGGACGAAAGGCUGACGAGGCAACGCCGCGUGGGUGAUGACGGCCUUCGGGUUGUAAAGCUCUGUUAAUCGGGGCGCGGUACCGGAAUAGAAAGCCACGGCUAACUACGUGCCAGCAGCCGCGGUAAUUC